AGGGAUGGGGACCCCUGAGGGCUGCAGAUGAUGGUGCCACCCUCCCUUGACCCGAGACGAGACCAGGGCUACAAAACUGGAACAGCGAGAUGCAAAAUCCUGAGCCUUCAAAGCCAGCUCCUGCAGAAGAGAAAGGGCCUGGCAGCUGAGCUGGAUGCUUCAGGAGCAGAGGAUCUAUCAACUGCAGACCAAGCAUAGGGAGACGCAGGCAGACCUGGAACAGAAAUCCAGCCAGCUCCAGCCGCUCCGACAGUACUUGGUAGCCAGACAUUCGGCAGCAGGAAGCACGCCACGGGCCACGAGGCAGGAAAUGACCCAAUCCUUGAGGUCUGAUAAAGAAAACAAAGACUGAACUAGGAGAGACUGAAAUGGAGGCACAGACUUUCAAGCCCAGGCUUUCACAAAGGUUGGCUACAAUACAAGAGUUCAGGAAAAAUCAACAAGAGCA